CCAAUAGCGUAUAUUAAAGUUGUUGCAGUUAAAAAGCUCGUAGUUGAAUUUCGGGAUCGGUGGGUCGGUCGUGCCUCCGGUACGCACUGUCUUUACCGGUUCCUCCCUUCUGAAGAACCGCGAUGUCAUUAAUUUGGUGUUGCGGGGAAUCAGGACUGUUACUGUGAAAAAAUUAGAGUGUUUAAAGCAGGCUAAAGCUUGAAUACAUUAGCAUGGAAUAAUGAAAUAGGACGUUUGAUCUUAUUUUGUUGGUUUCUAAGAUCGACGUAAUGAUUAAUAGGGAUAGUUGGGGGCAUUAGUAUUCAAUUGUCAGAGGUGAAAUUCUUGGAUUUAUUGAAGACUAACUACUGCGAAAGCAUUUGCCAAGGAUGUUUUCAUUAAUCAAGAACGAAAGUUAGGGGAUCGGAGAAGAUCAGAUACCGUCGUAAUCUUAACCAUAAACUAUGCCGACUAGGGAUUGGAGGAUGUUUAUUUUUAAGGACUCAUUCGCAGCCUAACG
rnacentral:rRNA from 1 species